CCUUGAACUUUAAGAUGCAGAGCUUAAAAUUCGAAUGAAAACUUGACAGUACGGCGGUAGCCUGUUGUUGAAAUGAUUUCAAUAUAUAUGGUCUUAUAUGGUAAACAUUUAGUUAAAACAAGUUUGAGAGUAUAAUUUACGUUUAAAGAGGACUAGUUUUUUGGUUUUUGUUCUUUUUUUUUGGGGGGGGGGGGUCAUUAAGUGUGAAGUGGGUGGUAAGGGUGGUGGUUCUUGCACUGAAUAAGCAUGAAAUAAGACGUUAUUUCACGUUAAAAGUUUUCUGUCAUCAUGUCAUGAACGUUGCACGAAAAAAAAAAUACUUUGGGUGUGAACCGUUUUCUGACUGAGUCGCUGCUUCUUGUAUAAUUAUAUAUAUUAACUUUACGUUUGACUUGAUAUUCCCGAUUUAGUAUACACAUUUAUGAUAUAAUUGGUUUACAGCUUUUAAAAAAGUAUUUCUUGACAAUCCCUGCCAAUUUAAGCGUUUGAAUUUUACAGGAGAUUUAAUUAUGCAAAAUUUAUAAGCAUUUGAAAAUCUUGUAAGACAGAACGUCAAAUAAAAAAGUUAAAUCAAUAGAAACUAAAAUAAAAACACGACAAUCACUUCGCACAAAAAUAACCAUUUACCAUCCUCUGUCUCAGAAAGGUAUAGAUAAGCGACCUAGCUACCAAUUGGUUUUAUGGGGGUCUAGGAUGAAAAAUUUUGUCCUGCAUUCUAUUAGUUGUUAUGUAUUUUUCACUCUAUUCGGUCCUGCCUUUUUUGUAUGAAAAUUGAGAAUGGAAAUGGGGAAUAUGUAAAAAAGACAGCAACCCGGCUACCAGAAGAGCAGAAACCAACAGAAGGCAACUAAUGGGUCUUCAACAUAACGAAAAACGAACAAAACUUCAUAUUGUAUAUAUAUGCUCCAGAUCAUAUGCAUGAGUAUUUGGAUGGUACACCUAUAUUCGUGUGGUCGGACCAUAUGUGUAUGGUCACACCAAUAUUUAUGAGUGUACUCGUACAGUCUAGUUAGCCUGAGUUAGGAAUAACUGGCCCCUUUAUGUAUUUGGACCAUAGGUAUUAAUUUUAGACAAACAUUUAUCCAGAAAAGCGCUUUGGACGCAAUAAAUUAUUAAACGUGUUGUUUUCAAUUUUUUACAUCACUGCAUGGGUCGAUACCUCUGCUGGUGGACUAUCAGUCCCCGAGGGUAUCAUCAGCUCAGAAGUCAGUAUUUCGGAACUGACAUGAUUUAAUAAACUUUACUAAAAUUGUCGGUCUACAAAUUUUGAAAUUAUUAAGAAACUUAGGUUUUAACUCCCUCAGGCAAAGUUGGCUUAAGACAUGUAUGUUAGAUGAAUUUGGCUAUAAAUUUUAGGUAUUUUUGACAUAUAUAGCUCUUCAAUGGUUUUGUUACUUAUACAUCUUCGGAGUUCAAAUCAGAGGCGGAUUUAGGGGGGGGGCAGGGGGCCCGCCCCCCCUUUUGGGAAAAAAUUUGGUUGCUUAUAUAGGGAAUCAAUGAAGCGUGACUGGAGCGGGCCCCUCUUAGGUCAGUCAGUGGGCCCCCACUUAUGAAAAUUUCUGGAUCCGCCACUGCAAAUGUUUGGCUUUGAGUGUUCCUGAUGAAGGUAAAUCCAGAAAAGUGCUUUGGACGCAAUAAAUUAUUAAAGGUGUUAAUUGUUUUCAAUUUUUUUUUUUUUUUUUAUCAAAAUCUGUUAUUGAAUAUAUAAACACACAAAUUAAUAUUAUGACAAUUAGAUGAAUAAAGUGAAAUAUAUCAUCAUAUCACCAACCCUAAUAUUUAAUAUUUGAGUAACAAAGCUACCUUUAUUUAUUCUUGCACUAGUUUUUGAUGCAUUUUAUUAUAUUUUCUCUAUGUGUUUUCAAGGGAUUUUGUAUAGUUUUUGACCAGUAUCUGUGACGUUUUUGAAAAGUUCCUACAUCUUCUAAAAUAUUUUCUUCCAACUUUAUGUUUAUUCUGAUAACUACAAUUUCAGCCAGCAUAAUUUAUAAAUCUCCUGUAUAUACUGACAUGCUAAAUGCACAGGAGGUUAACAGAAUAAAGCUGUGAUUUAUAAUGAUACAUGCACUGUUCCACAACAUUUUAGGGUCAGACAAAUUUAAUGCUUGAUUGGGAGCAAUUAUUUGUGGUCACUUAAACUGAAGAAAUUUAUUGGCUUUAAUUGAUUGACCGUGUGCAGCUGGUAAGCACAUAAUCAGCUGAUUUACUAAAACAACAUUGAUUACCUUGAAUAUUAUUAUGGAUAGAGAUAAAUUUUAAACAGCAAUAAGGUUCAGCAAAGUAAGAUCUACAAUUAGGUCAACAUGACCAGAGUUAUAGUCUAUUUAAAUAUUUUUUUGGUAAAUUUUUGUAAUCUGAAACUACUGGUCCAAAUACAUGAAAUACAAUACAAUACAAUAUACAAUAUGGAAUCAAAGGAGUAGGGGCAAUGAAGGUCAUUUUUUUUUCGAUCAAAUUUUGCCUAUUAUCUUGAAAACUAAAAUAGAUAGAGAGAAAUUUUAAAAAAUGCAAAAAUGAUCAGAAAAAAAACUCUUUCGUGUUUGGAUCAAGAGCUAAAUAAGAUCAUGAAGAUAGAGAGAAACUAAACAGACUUCAUCGAUCAGCAAUAUAUUUAUGAUACAAUUUUUUUUAUUAAAGAUCUAUUAAAAAACAUACAAAUAUGUAAGAUCAUUUAAAUCAUCUGGAGAAGGUAUGCACAUGUAUAUAUACAACUCCUCUCAAUUUAACCCAACACUGUAUCGGUUAUAAAAAAGUUAAAGGAUAAAAUCGUGCAUUCUUGAUAUCAAUAAAUCGAAUGUUUAAUGUUGACAAAUCGUUAUAUUUGAUCUGUCAACCUAAAAAUAUUUAGGUAUACUAAGCAGGAAAAGGAAAAGAGAAAUAAAAUGAUAUUAGAAAAUUUGCAAAAUUGAUAUUAACAUGAGUGAAAGUUGUAUAAAUAAACGUACAACUAUCCUAAGACCAUCAUAAGACACCUCUCGUGUAGUCCUAACUUUAUGACCAAUAUAAAGAGAUGUCCCAAUUUAGGACCCCUUUGUGAAACCCACAUAGGACUAAGAUAUGUCGUAAGACCAUCCUAAGACAUGUCUUAGUCCUAAGACAGCUUCGUGAAACUGGCCCCUGCACUUUAUCAUGUUUAUCGGACGCGUUAGACCACUUGACCACCUGGGCUUUACAAAAAUAAAGCUUUCCGAUGGCGGGGUCCCUGUGUUUCCUUUCCUCCUCAGUUUUUAUUUAACGUUGUAAUACAGUACAUGAUAUAUAAGGCAUGAACAUGGGAUAUAUAUUUGUAUUAUCUGUUAGUCAAAUGGGUUUUGUUAAAACAUACUUUUUCACUUUUUGGGUCUUUUGGAAAAUGUUGUUUGUGCUUCUACAACGAAAUUUGUUUUACAUGCACACAUAUAAAAAUUGCAGUUUUUAUCCAACGCAAUCAUAGGUUUGAACGUAGUUUUCAAUUUAGAUUUGUAUAUACAUGUCCAUGUAUAUAUAUAUAUAUAUAUAUAUAUAUAUGUCAAAAUAUUCACUUCAAACUAUCCUGAACCAUGCAGUUAUUUCAAGACAGCAUUACAUUUCUAUAUAAUAUAUAGUCAUAAUAUGCAUUAAUUAGGGAAUGAUGAAUUACUGUUAAACUUCAAACCCACUGUUGUUGAACUUUAAAAGAGAAUUGUUGACAUUAUCUUUGUAUAUUAUAUUACUGUAACUAAACUUCAAACUGAAAUUAAUUAACUUGCCAUUUUCUUCUUUGAACUGUUUUCCUCCACUGCAUGGUUCUUCACAAAAUCACCACAAAAACAAUAUAAUUGUAAUAAAUUGAAGAGUUAUAAGAGUAGCACAACUGUGUGUGAUUUUCAACAUAAAUUUAUUUUGCUCUACACAUUUUAUGAUGUCCAAGUAAUGAGGUCAUGACAUCAAUAUAAAUCCAUAUAGUAACCAAUGAGAUAAAAGAGAAAUUUAUUUAAUGUCUUCCUAAAAUCUUUGGAUAAAAACAGGUCACAUUUACUUGUACAUAUUGUGUGUAUGCUGUACUUAAAUAUAAAAACACAAGUGAAUGUUAUACAUAUAUAUACUCUCACCACAUUCAAUGUCAUCGAUUCAAUGGACUUAAUUAAGUAUAAUGGGAAUAGGUCUAUUAGUGUAAAUAAAAGUGAAAUAAUUAGAAGGAUUAGAAUACACAUGCAGUAUAUGUUCCAAUGACAUACAGGGAUAGAAUUUUGAGAAAAAUUUAUUGUAAGUAAUAAUUUCAUACUUAAUGCCAAUAAUUGUUUAUUUCUAUGUUUUGUGUAUGGUCUCCUUAAAGUUUUAUUAUGAGGAGGAUUAAGAGGGUGGGGCUAAUGGGUAAUGGCCCCCCCUUUUAAAAAAAAAUUUUGUUUGAUUAAUUUAUCUCGAGAUCAAAUCACUGAAGCAUGAUUUAAGCGGGUCCCUUUUAAAAAAUUCUGGAUCUGCCACUGCAUACCACAGACAUAUACAGAAAUUAAGGAUGUUUUAUAAUUUUAAAAAAUUCUAAUAUAUCUAUCAAUUAAAAAAAUAUUUAUAUUGAUAUAUAUGCAUGCAUGCAUUAGUGAUAAAUUUAAUAAUCUGUCACCUAAGGAUAUUUGCCUAUAGAUGUUUUAUGUCUCACUGUUGGGCUUCUAAGUCAGUAUCAAAUUAGAGUUUUGCCCCAAAUUUCAUGGUCCACUGAACAUAAUUAUAAAAAUGAUAGUGCUAGCUAUAGUGUGUCAUCUGUUUACUAUGGAAACAUUAUUGUUAUUGAUUUAGGGUGGUACCUAACACUACAGGGAGAUAACUCUGUAAAGUCAGCUAUUGGACUUAGCAUUUUUUACCUGGGAGGGGGGGGGCUGGUCAUUUUGAAAUUAAACAUACAAAAUUUCUUGAUCCCCCCCUAUUAUAUUUCACUUUUUUUGUUUGAUCCCCCCAGUAAAAACAUUUUUAAAAAAAUGAUCCCCCCCUAAUCAAACAUGCCAAAAUUUUAACAUGCAAAACACUUAUCAUAUUAUUUCAUGAAAAUAUUGAAAAUAAUAUAUUCUCAGUGGAUUGAAUCAAAAACAUAUUUGAGGGAAAAUUGUCUUGAAAUAGGGCACUUUCAUGAGGUCUUUUCAAUGAAUAUAAGCAUGAUAGGUAGCGCAAGCCAGUGCUUUGAGUAAUUUUUUUCUGACUUUUUUUUUCUAAUUUCCUGUAUUGUGCUAUUAAAGAAAACCUGAUCCUAAGUAACUCUAAAAGAUAACUUUUUAAAACAGUAACAACACAUUAUUUACUAAAUGGAAUCUAUUAUAUGGCCUUCUCUUGAACUCUGCUUAAACUUAAGUUUGAUGUAAGGCCUUAUUGAGUUGCUAAACUUUUAUAUGGAGAUUAUAAGUUACUCAUUUAUUGUCACAUUUCAUUCAUAUAUGUGUGAUAGUACAUGUAACAUUUUGAUUUAUUAGCCUAAAAGUACAGAUUUUGCGGGAGUAAGAGGUAUAAAUAAAUUAAUGGACCCAAAGAGAUCUUGUAAUGAAAUCAAAAAGUUACAUUAGUGGUGUUCAUCAUCUUAAAAUCAUUUUGCAAUCAUACAACUGUUUGUAUGCAGAUUCUAAGAUGAAUAUUUAAUCAUUUAUUGGAGAAUUAAUUACUCUACACAUUAUUCUUUCAUGAUGCGGCAUACUUUGUGUUUUGGGACAAAAUUUUGCACAAAUCGCUGUAGAUUUCUACUUAAUUUAUACUUAAUUUCUCUCAAACUAUUAAGCUGAUUAAAACAAAAUUUGGCAGUUAUGCUUGUUAAUUUAGUGAUCAAAGUGAGUGAAAUACAUGUAAAACGACUGAAUUAUUUGGAUUAUGAAGCACCUACAUCACCAAAUUCUUGUGGUGUCUUAAUUAACUGUAUAUGAAUGGUGUUAAAAAUAUAUUUCUAUUUGACUGUUGCAAUGUUCUUCUUGACAUGUUCAUGAUGUUGUUUCUUGAAGUAUGUGAAAUACUUAUUUCCAUGUGUAAGAAAUAUUGAUCCCCCAACUUUGAAUAACUAAACAGACUUCACUGAUCAGCAAUAUAUUUAUGAUACAAUUUUUUUUAUUAAAGUCCUAUUAAAAAAACAUACAAACAUGUAAGAUCAUUUAAAUCAUCUGGAGAAGGUAUGCACAUGUAUAUAUACAACUCCUCUAAAUUUAACCCAACACUGUAUCGGUUAUAAAAAAGUUAAAGGAUAAAAUCGUGCAUUCUUGAUAUCAAUAAAUCGAAUGUUCAAUGUUGACAAAUCGUUAUAUUUGAUCUGUCAACCUAUAAAUAUUUAGGUAUACUAAGCAGGAAAAGGAAAAGAGAAAUAAAAUAAUAUUAGAAAAUUUGCAAAAUUGAUAUUAAAAUGAGUGAAAGUUGUAUAAAUAAACGUACAACUAUCCUAAGACCAUCAUAAGACACCUCUCGUGUAGUCCUAACUUUAUGACCAAUAUAAAGAGAUGUCCCAAUUUAGGACCGCUUUGUGAAACCCACAUAGGACUAAGAUAUGUCGUAAGACCAUCCUAAGACAUGUCUUAGUCCUAAGACAGCUUCGUGAAACUGGCCCCUGCACUUUAUCAUGUUUAUCGGACGCGUUAGACCACUUGACCACCUGGGCUUUACAAAAAUAAAGCUUUCCGAUGGCCGGGUCCCUGUGUUUCCUUUCCUCCUCAGUUUUUAUUUAACGUUGUAAUACAGUACAUGAUAUAUAAGGCAUGAACAUGGGAUAUAUAUUUGUAUGAUCUGUUAGUCAAAUGGGUUUUGUUAAAAUAUACUUUUUCACUUUUUUGGGUCUUUUGGAAAAUGUUGUUUGUGCUUCUACAACGAAAUUUGUUUUACAUGCACACAUAUAAAAAUUGCAGUUUUUUAUCCAACGCAAUCAUAGGUUUGAACGUAGUUUUCAAUUUAGAUUUGUAUAUACAUGUCCAUGUAUAUAUAUAUAUAUAUAUAUAUAUAUAUGUCAAAAUAUUCACUUCAAACUAUCCUGAACCAUGCAGUUAUUUCAAGACAGCAUUACAUUUCUAUAUAAUAUAUAGUCAUAAUAUGCAUUAAUUAGGGAAUGAUGAAUUACUGUUAAACUUCAAACCCACUGUUGUUGAACUUUUAAAAGAGAAUUGUUGACAUUAUCUUUGUAUAUUAUAUUACUGUAACUAAACUUCAAACUGAAAUUAAUUAACUUGCCAUUUUCUUCUUUUGAACUGUUUUCCUCCACUGCAUGGUUCUUCACAAAAUCACCACAAAAAAACAAUAUAUUGUAAUAAAUUGAAGAGUUAUAAGAGUAGCACAACUGUGUGUGAUUUUCAACAUAAAUUUAUUUUGCUCUACACAUUUUAUGAUGUCCAAGUAAUGAGGUCAUGACAUCAAUAUAAAUCCAUAUAGUAACCAAUGAGAUAAAAGAGAAAUUUAUUUAAUGUCUUCCUAAAAUCUUUGGAUAAAAACAGGUCACAUUUACUUGUACAUAUUGUGUGUAUGCUGUACUUAAAUAUAAAAAACACAAGUGAAAUGUUAUACAUAUAUAUAUACUCUCACCACAUUCAAUGUCAUCGAUUCAAUGGACUUAAUUAAGUAUAAUGGGAAUAGGUCUAUUAGUGUAAAUAAAAGUGAAAUAAUUAGAAGGAUUAGAAUACACAUGCAGUAUAUGUUCCAAUGACAUACAGGGAUAGAAUUUUGAGAAAAAUUUAUUGUAAGUAAUAAUUUCAUACUUAAUGCCAAUAAUUGUUUAUUUCUAUGUUUUGUGUAUGGUCUCCUUAAAGUUUUAUUAUGAGGAGGAUUAAGAGGGUGGGGCUAAUGGGUAAUGGCCCCCCCCUUUUAAAAAAAAAAUUGUUUGAUUAAUUUAUCUCGAGAUCAAAUCACUGAAGCAUGAUUUAAGCGGGUCCUUUUUAAAAAAUUCUGGAUCUGCCACUGCAUACCACAGACAUAUACAGAAAUUAAGGAUGUUUUAUAAUUUUAAAAAAAUUCUAAUAUAUCUAUCAAUUAAAAAAAUAUUUAUAUUGAUAUAUAUGCAUGCAUGCAUUAGUGAUAAAUUUAAUAAUCUGUCACCUAAGGAUAUUUGCCUAUAGAUGUUUUAUGUCUCACUGUUGGGCUUCUAAGUCAGUAUCAAAUUAGAGUUUUGCCCCAAAUUUCAUGGUCCACUGAACAUAAUUAUAAAAAUGAUAGUGCUAGCUAUAGUGGGUCAUCUGUUUACUAUGGAAACAUUAUUGUUAUUGAUUUAAGGUGGUACCUAACACUACAGGGAGAUAACUCUGUAAAGUCAGCUAUUGGACUUAUCAUUUUUUACCUGGGAGGGGGUUAUAUUUCACUUUUUUUGUUUGAUCCCCCCAGUAAAAACAUUUUUAAAAAAAAUGAUCCCCCCCUAAUCAAACAUGCCAAAAUUUUAACAUGCAAAACACUUAUCAUAUUAUUUCAUGAAAAUAUUGAAAAUAAUAUAUUCUCAGUGGAUUGAAUCAAAAACAUAUUUGAGGGAAAAUUGUCUUGAAAUAGGGCACUUUCAUGAGGUCUUUUCAAUGAAUAUAAGCAUGAUAGGUAGCGCAAGCCAGUGCUUUGAGUAAUUUUUUUCUGACUUUUUUUUUUCUAAUUUCCUGUAUUGUGCUAUUAAAGAAAACCUGAUCCUAAGUAACUCUAAAAGAUAACUUUUUAAAAACAGUAACAACACAUUAUUUACUAAAUGGAAUCUAUUAUAUGGCCUUCUCUUGAACUCUGCUUAAACUUAAGUUUGAUGUAAGGCCUUAUUGAGUUGCUAAACUUUUAUAUGGAGAUUAUAAGUUACUCAUUUAUUGUCACAUUUCAUUCAUAUAUGUGUGAUAGUACAUGUAACAUUUUUGAUUUAUUAGCCUAAAAGUACAGAUUUUUGCGGGAGUAAGAGGUAUAAAUAAAUUAAUGGACCCAAAGAGAUCUUGUAAUGAAAUCAAAAAGUUACAUUAGUGGUGUUCAUCAUCUUAAAAUCAUUUUGCAAUUCAUACAACUGUUUGUAUGCAGAUUCUAAGAUGAAUAUUUAAUCAUUUAUUGGAGAAUUAAUUACUCUACACAUUAUUCUUUCAUGAUGCGGCAUACUUUGUGUUUUGGGACAAAAUUUUGCACAAAUCGCUGUAGAUUUCUACUUAAUUUAUACUUAAUUUCUCUCAAACUAUUAAGCUGAUUAAAACAAAAUUUGGCAGUUAUGCUUGUUAAUUUAGUGAUCAAAGUGAGUGAAAUACAUGUAUAACGACUGAAUUAUUUGGAUUAUGAAGCACCUACAUCACCAAAUUCUUGUGGUGUCUUAAUUAACUGUAUAUGAAUGGUGUUAAAAAUAUAUAUUUCUAUUUGACUGUUGCAAUGUUCUUCUUGACAUGUUCAUGAUGUUGUUUCUUGAAGUAUGUGAAAUACUUAUUUCCAUGUGUAAGAAAUAUUGAUCCCCCAACUUUGAAUUUAUAAAAAAAAUUGAACCCCCCUUUUCCACACACAGAAAAAAACUUGAUCCCUCCUGUAUUUUGACCACCCCACCCUCCCAGAUAAAUAAUGAUAAGUCCCUUUAAAAAAGUGUUAUAAUUACGUUGUGUUGUCAAAAGAAUACUAAGCUUCUUAAUGAUCCAAAUAAGUGUUAAAUGUCAAACUGCUAUAUAACCAGUGUAAUUUUUCUGGCAAAACGGUUGGUUCAAAAUUUUUGAAUUUUUUAUAUUUUUGUAAAAUACUUUGACCAAAUUUUAUGAAAAUUAAACGAGCUAAAUAAUUUUUAGUAAAAGUGUUGGGUACCACCUUAAAUGAUCUUAAAUGCAAAGUAUUAAGAAUUAAGUUUCUGAAUUUCACGAGUUGAUAAUUGCCUACAAUUUAAAAUUCAAGAAUUUUGCAUACAAGUAUGCCACUUGAAAGUAUAUUGUAUUUGACCUGGAUGAGAGUUUAGAUGAGGUUUACAAAAUAGAGAAUAACAGGCAAAAUGUACAGAAUAAAGGAAAAAAAAGUAAUAAAUAGGGAAAAGAAGGAAAACUAAAACUAAAUAAAUAUUAGAGAAUAAGUGCUGAAAUGAAAUUUAUGUAAAGAAUAGAGAUUAAAAAAAAAACAAUCUAAUAUACAUGUAUUAAAGAAUAAAGAUACAUGUAAAAAUUGUAUACAUAACAGACAGUCACAAUUUGAACAGAAUGUUGACUUUAACAGUGCUUAUUUGGUUUCAAGGGGAUUCAUCUGAACCCCCCUGGCUACGGGUAUGCAUAACCCCUAUCUAGACCUUAAUAAAUCAAGCCAUAUUAACACAUAAAUGACAAAUACUCUGAUAAUUGUGUUUAGGUCAGACAGGAAUUUGUCUGCAAAAGACUCAUAAGUAACUUGAUUGAUCUCCAAUAAAAAAAAAAUUAAAGGCCAAAUGAUUUACAAAAUUAAAAACUUUGUCUUUGAUAAUCAAGAGAAAAACUGAGACAGACUGAGAAAGACAUGAUUCAUACAUAAAAUACAAACCUUAGAACCUCAAAUUAAAAAAUUAGAAACAGUCAGGGGCAUUACUUAAACAAGUAAUAUUUUUAAGUUAUUACUAUAUAUUUAAGUAAUUUUUGUUUUUGAAAAAUAAUAAAAUUACUUAAUAGAGUUAUUUUAAAUUCUAAUAGAAGCAUAGAUUAAAUGUAGUUUGAAGAAGUUAUUGUAUCAUUUUCUAUCAAAAAAAAAAAGAAUUUAUAAGAUUUUAGAAGGAGUAUGGAGAUAAAGGUUUAAAUUAAAAAUAAUGACAAAUUACUUGAAUACGGUAAGUUGUUAUAUACAUUUUUGAAAAAAAUAUAGUAAUAACACUUAUUUAAGGAACACAUCAUGUAGUUGAUUUGGGUUAUAGCAGUUAAAAAGAACUUGAAAUCUUAAUUAAUUCACAAGUAUGUAUCUAUUUAUAUCAGUCAUUAUGUCAGUCUAUCUUCAAGAUUUUGGAGGAAAAUGAUAAUUUAAUAGUCCCAAGAGACCAACUUUGACCCAGAAGCAUCCAUGGGUAUGAAAGAUAAGUGAUAAGUGCGUCAGUAUGUUAAUUAGUGUUUCAGAAGGAUUAUAUUUCAUGGGGAAAAAUAACCAGAUGACUGUGAAAAUUUGUUAAAGCUAGUAAAAUCUGCAUUAUUGGACAUCUAUAAAAAGAAUAUUUAGAAAAGUUACAUAUAUAAGUAAUAUUUAAAAUAGCCUCGUUUUCAACAUAACUUGUAUAGGUAAUUUGAAUUGUUGCUUGUUUAAGUGAUGCCCCUGACUGAUAAAUGAAACUGGUUAAUGUUAUAAUAGAGCAAAAAAGUUAGAUUGUGUGUACAGUACAUUAUUAGACUUGCUACAUGUUCCUUCCUAAUUAUUUUUUUUUUCACUUUUGCCCCUUUAACAUUUCACUGCUAUAACUAGGAGAUUACCAUUAUACUGACAUCUGCAGGGGCAAUCUGUAGACAGGCAGUUAUCAGCAAACAUAUAAAUUAGUGAAAAAAAAAAAAGAUAGGGAAUUGUAGCAAGUCUAAGUACAUUAUAUAAACACUGUUUUAGAGAUGAAUUUUAUUUCAUUUAUUUUCAAAGAAUUAAUACAGACCCAUUGCAUGGUGGCUUUUGGCUUUUGUCUGCUCUAUGUUCGGGUUGUUGUCGCUUUGACACAUUCCCCAUUUCCUUUCACAAUUUUAUCAUUAUAGAAAGAGGACAAUAAUAUAGUACAUAAAAUUAAGAAUUGAAGUGGGAAAUGUAUCAAAGACACAACAACCGGACCAUAGAACAAACAACAGCAGAAGGUCACCAACAGGUCUUCAAUGCAGCGAGAAAUUCCCACACCCAGAGGUGUCCUUCAGCUGGCUCCUAAACAAUAUAUAUAUACUAGUUUAGUGACAAUUAAUGAACACCAUAUUAAACUCCAAAUUGUACACAAGAAACAUUAAAAAUAAUACAAGACUACAUGCAACAAAGACCAGAGGCUCCUGACUUGGGACUUGGGGACUCUUGUAUGCAUACAUAUAUUUUGUCAAUCAACCAUUAUAGAAUCCUGGCACUUACAUUAACAGAGUGCUUCAAUAUAUAUGUAAUACCCAACUUAUGAUUUUUUUUUUGUUUGUCAAAAGUUUUUUUUUUUCUUUUUAGCUCACCUGACCUAAGAAAGAGGCCAUCUGAGCUUUUGCCAUCCCUUGGCAUUAAUUGUUGAAUCAUCCAUUGUCUAGUGUACACUUUUUCAUAGAUCUUCUCUUAUGAAACUACUGAAUUAAUUCAUUUUAACCAAACUUAGGCUGAAUGGGUAUAUAUUUUGUAAUAAUUAGCUCACAGGGAUCCUUCAAGGGCCCCAUGUGAGCUUAUGCCAUCACUUGGAAUCUGUCUUCGUAAACUAUUUAAAAAAUCUUCUCCUCUGAAACUACUUUAAACUUCAAACUUUAACUAAAUAUUCCUUAGGGUGUCAAGUUUAUAAAUUGUAUCCGAAGUUUUGAUCCAUCAACAAACAUGGCUACCAUGGCUAAAAAUAGAACAUAGGGGUCAAAUGCAGUUUUUGGCUUAUAUCUCAAAAACUGAAGCUUUUAGAGCAAAUCUGACAUUAGGUAAAAUUGUUCAAUUGGUCAAGGUCUAUCAGCCCUGAAAUUUUCAGACGAAUCAAACAUUCCAUUGUUGGGUUGCUGCCACUGAAAUUGGUAGUUAUAACAAAAUUUUGCAGUUUUUUGUUAUUAUCUUGAAUAUUAUUAUAGAUAGAUGUAAACUGUAUAAGCAGCAAUAAUGAUCUACAAAAAAGUUGAUAUGACCAAAAAAGUCAAUUGACUCCUUAAGGAGUUAAUGCCCUUUAAAGUUAAAUGUUAGAAGGAACUUUUUAGUUCAUACUGUACUAAUUAUUUUAUAGCUGUUUAACUAAUUCAUCAAUGUUUCUAUUUCUUUUGAAUCCUAUUGAUAGGUUUUUAUUGAUUUUGUCACCAAUUGUAGAAUCUGUUUUGAUAAGAUUCCGGUAUUUCCUGAAUAAUGUUUGAAAUUUUCUGCUGAAGAAUUCGAAUUAUUAUUCGUACCGAUUGAUAUAUUGUAUCUAUUUUCAACUUUGUUCUUUUUCUAGACAUAAAUUCAUAGAAAUUGAUCCAAUAUCCACCUAUUUAAAUAAGGUGAAAAUCAUAACUCUGUCCUGAUUUCAUAGACAGAAUUUCAUAGAAAUAAAUAUCCAUUAGUGCAAAUCACAAUUUAAAAUAAAUGUGCCUUUAAGCAGUUCAUGUGUAAAAAAAAAUGCUUAGGAUGUUACUGUGGAUUUAUUUUCAUGGGUAUCAAUUAAAGAUUAAAGAAAUUUUUGUAUAUUUCGCCGAUAUUUGUUUUUUUUGGUUUUGUCAAAGUAUUUUUACAACCCGAUGGCAAAUUUUUAAUUCGUUUAACAUUUAACGUUUAAAUUUGUGGUUCAGCUGUUUCCACCAAAACGCCAAAACUGGUAUCCCAUGAACAUGAUGAACAUGAUGAAUAAUAAUGAAUCCACAGUAAAUAUUUUCAGCAUGAAUGAUGAAGUUUUAAUGCCAUUCUGUUCUUAUUUUAGAUUGACAUAUCCAUAGGACAUGCAGUUACCCUAGACCAUGUAGACAAACAGGAAGAGAAAGGUCUCUGAUUCAGUUCUCUGUGAAGUUCAAGGUCUUUCUUAGUCUAAAUAUGGGAAGAUGUGAAAGGUAAGUUUGAAAGUUUGCAAGUGUGCAAAAAUAUGUUAUUUCUAACAAAAUGUGCUGUUUCACAAAUAAAAUACUCUGUGUCUUAGACACUUAUGUAGCAAUUGCAAUAAGGCCACUAUAUUGGUGUAUGAAAUGAUUGUAAGCUGUAUUUGCCUGACCGGUUAAACUCACCCAUGCCUUCAUUUUCAUGCAUGGAUCAUUUAUGGAUCAAGUUUAUCUGAUAAUUGAAAAUAGCGUCAAAUUUUCAGACAAGUAAAGCUGGCUUAAAUAUUAGUUUCUGUCAUUUGGGCUCUUGCUGAGAGUUGUCUCAUUGGCAAUUAUACCACAUCUUCUUUUUUAAUUGACAUUUAAAUGUUGCAUUUUAUAUAUAUAUAUAUACAUAUUACAAUCACACAAUAGCUGGCCAAUUGUUAAUAAGCAUCCAUGUUCACAAAUAACUUCAUUUGUGCAAUUAAGGGACAUGCUAAGGAAGACCUUUUUUUAUGCCCCUGCAGUAGUUUUACCCUUGACCGUCUGUAUGUAUGUACGUCCUUCCAUACCUCCCAAAGUUUGUUACCGUUUUCCUAACUUCAGUUUGCCUCAACCAAAUGUUAUGAAACUGAUACACAAUGCUUAUUACCACAAAACACAGAUCAAGUUUGAAUUUUGGUUGCAUCAUGUACUUUAACCGUUCAAGAGUUAUGCCUCUUUACAAAAAAAAUUGCUGAAUUUUUCUAUUUGUUUUCUAACUUUAGUUUGCCUCUGAACCAAAUGCUAUGAAACUAAUACACAGCAAUGCUUAUUUCCACAAAAUACAGAUCAAGUAUGAAUUAAGGGACAGGGUCACUUACCUGUUGUUCAGUUAUGCCCCUUAACAAAUGAAAAAUUAUGCUUAUAUUUGUAGUUUCCAUUCUCUAACAUUGGUUUGCCUCAACUAAAUGCAAUGAAACUUAUACACAAUGCUUGUUACCACAAAAUACAGAUCAAGUUUGAAUUUUAUGGGGGUCACUUUAACUUUUCUAGAAUUAUGCCUCUUCACAAAUUGAAUGAUUGCUGAAAUUUUCAUUUCCAUUCAUUAACUUUAGCUUGCCUCAACCAAAUGCUAUGAUAUUUUAAACAAUACUUAUUACCACAAAAUACAAAUCAAGUUUGAAUUUUGAGGUUGUCACUAAAUUUUCUAGAGUUAUGCCCCUUUGAAAAUGGAAAAAAUUGCUGAAUUUUUGUUUCCAAUCUCUAAAUUAAGUUUGCAUAAACCAAGUUUUAUGGAACUUAUACACAAUACCUAUUACCACUAAAUCAGAUCAAGUGUUUUUGGUAGAGUCACUUUUACUGUUCUUCAGUUAUGUCCUUUUAUAACUUUAUAUGAUAUAUGCAAGCGGGGGCAUCAACUGUGAUCCAUUGAUACAUUCCCCAUUUAAUUUUUUGUUUAACAUCGAUUUUUUUUGGGGUGUCCAAGCCGAUAAAUUAGAGUUGAAAGGGCAAUCAAAACGCAUCUUUUUUGUUGUUAGCCCUAUUGAAAACUAUUGUACAGCAUUUUGUACAGAGAGGGAAACUUUGUAUAGUAAAAAUGAUCAACACCAUAAGAUCUACUAAUAAGUCACAUCAUUUUCUUUGUAGGAUACAUAGAAAUCUUGAAGGACAAAUUGGUGCGAGUCUUAAAAGGCACAGAUUUGAAGAUAAACAAGAG
rnacentral:lncRNA from 1 species